rnacentral:rRNA from 1 species
AACGGAGUUAUUACCCAAAUGAAAUUUUCGAUUAAAGGGAAGUAAGUACUUAAAUGGCGGACGGGAUGAGUAAACGCGUGGGGAACCUUCCCUUACAGAGGGGGAUAACUUUUGGAAACCAACCCUAAUACCGCAUAACCUCUAAGCAUCGCAUGGUGCAAAGAGGAAAGGAGUUAAUUCCGCUGUAAGAUGCCCCCGCGUCCGAUUAGAUAGGUGGUGGGGUAAUGGCCUACCAAGUCGACGAUCGGUAGCCGGACUGAGAGGUUGAACGGCCACAUUGGGACUGAGACACGGCCCAAACUCCUACGGGAGGCAGCAGUGGGGGAUAUUGCACAAUGGGGGAAACCCUGAUGCAGCAACGCCGCGUGAGGGAAGAAGGUUUUCGGAUUGUAAACCUCUGUUCUCGGUGAAGAAAAAUGACGGUAGCCGAGGAGGAAGCUCCGGCUAACUACGUGCCAGCAGCCGCGGUAAUACGUAGGGAGCAAGCGUUGUCCGGAUUUACUGGGUGUAAAGGGUGCGUAGGCGGCUUAGCAAGUCAGACGUGAAAUACAGAGGCUUAACCUCUGAACUGCGUUUGAAACUGUUGGGCUUGAGUGAAGCAGAGGUAGGCGGAAUUCCCGGUGUAGCGGUGAAAUGCGUAGAGAUCGGGAGGAACACCAGUGGCGAAGGCGGCCUACUGGGCUUUAACUGACGCUGAGGCACGAAAGCGUGGGUAGCAAACAGGAUUAGAUACCCUGGUAGUCCACGCCGUAAACGAUGAUUACUAGGUGUGUGGGGAUUGACCCCCUACGUGCCGGAGUUAACACAAUAA